UCUGAUGGCCGGGAGGACAGGAAGAAGGAACCCACAAUGAAGCAAAAGUCGCGUUUAACUCUGUCCUCACCAUUCCUCUCCUGGGCCUGUCCUAAACUGGAAGCUGGGGGAGGAUGGAGUGCUGGAAUGCUGCAGAAGUCUCAUGGGAGGGCGCCUGGUGUUCACCACGUGUGUACACUGUUGCACGACCAGUGAAAAUUUGAAUGCUGGGGCUCAGUGGAACACCUGAAGGAAGCUGGUGAGGCAGAUGUCCCGCUAUGCCUUCCAAGUGUCAUGCAACCAGUUCAUGCCUGUCAGCAUCUCUGCCGGUG
rnacentral:lncRNA from 1 species